AGAGUUUGAUCCUGGCUCAGAACGAACGCUGGCGGCGCGCCUAACACAUGCAAGUCGAACGGGGUGCAUGGAGCUGAUCACUUCGGUGUGAAGCAUCAUGUUACCUAGUGGCGAACGGGUGAGUAACACGUAGGUAACCUGCCCUUAGGAUUGGGAUACUCCCGGGAAACCGGGUUCAAUACCGAAUAUGAUUCCAGGGUGAAAUGCCCAGGGAUAAAAGCUGCUGGCAACAGUGGCGCCUAUGGAGGGACCUGCGGCCUAUCAGCUUGUUGGUGAGGUAACGGCUCACCAAGGCUAAGACGGGUAGCCGGACUGAGAGGUUGAUCGGUCACACUGGAACUGAGACACGGUCCAGACUCCUACGGGAGGCAGCAGUGGGGAAUUUUGCGCAAUGGGCGAAAGCCUGACGCAGCGACGCCGCGUGGGGGAAGAAGGCCUUCGGGUUGUAAACUCCUUUAGUACGGGAAGAAGCCGCAAGGUGACGGUACCGUAAGAAUAAGCCACGCUAACU
rnacentral:rRNA from 1 species